rnacentral:rRNA from 1 species
CGUCUUUUGUUACUAUAAAGAUAAAAGAUAAUGCCUGCCCCAUGAUCUCUAUUAAAUGGCCGCGUUAGCGUGAGCGUGCUAAGGUAGCGUAAUAAACAGCUCCCUAAUUAGGAGCCAGUGAAUGGCUAAACAGAGGAAGACUUUAUUACUAAUGAAAAGAAAACUUUUCGUUUAAGUGAAAAGACUUAAAUCAAAGAAAAAGACAAAAAGACCCCGCGGAACUCCCUUAAGACUUUACUAUAUAAACAAGGAUUAUACUUAAAAUCAACUGGUUGGUUGGGGCAACCUUGGAGCAACACAAACCUCCAUUUACUACAAAAUCUUAUUCAAAACUCAAUGUGGACCAUAUUUGCAGUUACCCCGGGGAUAACAGCGUUAUCCAGCUUAAGAGUACGAAUUGAAAGCUGGGUUUGCGACCUCGAUGUUGGCUUAGGGAAAGCAACUUGGUGCAGCCGCUAAGUUCAAUGCCAGUCUGUUCGACUGCUAACCCCCU